GACGAACGCUGGCGGCGUGCCUAAUACAUGCAAGUCGAACGCAAAACUUUCACCGAAUGCUUGCAUUCACGAAAGCUUUGAGUGGCGAACGGGUGAGUAACACGUGGGUAACCUGCCCAGAAGAGGGGGAUAACACUUGGAAACAGGUGCUAAUACCGCAUAAUAACAAAAACCGCAUGGUUUUUGUUUGAAAGAUGGUUUUGCUAUCACUUCUGGAUGGACCCGCGGCGUAUUAGCUAGUUGGUAAGGUAAAGGCUUACCAAGGCAAUGAUACGUAUCCGAACUGAGAGGUUGAGCGGCCACAUUGGGACUGAGACACGGCCCAAACUCCUACGGGAGGCAGCAGUAGGGAAUCUUCCACAAUGGACGAAAGUCUGAUGGAGCAACGCCGCGUGAGUGAAGAAGGUUUUCGGAUCGUAAAACUCUGUUGUUAGAGAAGAACGUGUGUGAGAGUAACUGCUCAUGCAGUGACGGUAUCUAACCAGAAAGCCACGGCUAACUACGUGCCAGCAGCCGCCGUAA
rnacentral:rRNA from 1 species